rnacentral:rRNA from 1 species
AUUGAACGCUGGCGGCAGGCCUAACACAUGCCAGUCGAGCGGAUGAAGGGAGCUUGCUCCUGGAUUCAGCGGCGGACGGGUGAGUAAUGCCUAGGAAUCUGCCUGGUAGUGGGGGAUAACGUCCGGAAACGGGCGCUAAUACCGCAUACGUCCUGAGGGAGAAAGUGGGGGAUCUUCGGACCUCACGCUAUCAGAUGAGCCUAGGUCGGAUUAGCUAGUUGGUGGGGUAAAGGCCUACCAGGGCGACGAUCCGUAACUGGUCUGAGAGGAUGGUCAGUCACACUGGAACUGAGACGCGGUCCAGAGGCCUACGGGAGGCAGCAGGGGGGAAUAUUGGACAGUGGGCGAAAGCCUGAUCCAGCCAUGCCGCGUGUGUGAAGAAGGUCUGCGGAUUGUAAAGCACUUUAAGUUGGGAGGAAGGGCAGUAAGUUAAUACCUUGCUGUUUUGACGGUACCAACAGAAUAAGCACCGGCUAACUUCGUG